GAUGAACGCUGGCGGCGUGCCUAAUACAUGCAAGUCGAGCGAACGGACGAGAAGCUUGCUUCUCUGAUGUUAGCGGCGGACGGGUGAGUAACACGUGGAUAACCUACCUAUAAGACUGGGAUAACUUCGGGAAACCGGAGCUAAUACCGGAUAAUAUUUUGAACCGCAUGGUUCAAAAGUGAAAGACGGUCUUGCUGUCACUUAUAGAUGGAUCCGCGCUGCAUUAGCUAGUUGAUAAGGUAACGGCUUACCAAGGCAACGAUGCAUAGCCGACCUGAGAGGGUGAUCGGCCACACUGGAACUGAGACACGGUCCAGACUCCUACGGGAGGCAGCAGCAGGGAAUCUUCCGCAAUGGGCGAAAGCCUGACGGAGCAACGCCGCGUGAGUGAUGAAGGUCUUCGGAUCGUAAAACUCUGUUAUUAGGGAAGAACAUAUGUGUAAGUAACUGUGCACAUCUUGACGGUACCUAAUCAGAAAGCCACGGCUAACUACGUG
rnacentral:rRNA from 1 species